rnacentral:rRNA from 1 species
UUCCGGUUGAUCCUGCCGGACCCUACCGCUAUCGGGGUAGGACUAAAACAUGCAAGUCGCGCGUCUCCAAGCAAUGGUGGAGACGCGGCGUACGGCUCAGUAACACGUGGCUAACCUACCCUUAGGACGGGGAUAACCCCGGGAAACUGGGGCUAAUACCCGAUAGGUGAGGAGAUCUGGAAUGACUCUUCACCGAAAGGGUGUGGAGACCAUGCUUCUCCACAUCGCCUAAGGAUGGGGCCGCGGCCGAUCAGGUUGUUGGUGGGGUAACGGCCCACCAAGCCUAUAACCGGUACGGGCCGUGAGAGCGGGAGCCCGGAGAUGGGCACUGAGACAAGGGCCCAGGCCCUACGGGGCGCAGCAGUUGCGAAAACUCCGCAAUGCGCGAAAGCGCGACGGGGCUACCCCGAGUGCCGUCCGCUUAGGGCGGCUUUUCUCUGGUAUAAUGAGCCAGAGGAAUAAGGAGAGGGCAAGUCUGGUGUCAGCCGCCGCGGUAAUACCAGCUCUCCGAGUGGUAGGGACGAUUAUUGGGCCUAAAGCGUCCGUAGCCGGUCUGGUAAGUAUCCCGUUAAAUCCAACGACCUAAUCGUUGGACUGCGGGAUAUACUGCCAGACUAGGGGGCGGGAGAAGUCGACGGUAUUCCUGGGGUAGGGGUGAAAUCCUAUAAUCCCAGGAGGACCACCGGUGGCGAAGGCGGUCGACUAGAACGCGCCCGACGGUGAGGGACGAAAGCUGGGGGAGCGAACCGGAUUAGAUACCCGGGUAGUCCCAGCCGUAAACGAUGUAGGCUAGGUGUUGGAGCGGCUACGGGCCGCUCCAGUGCCGCAGGGAAGCCGUUAAGCCUACCGCCUGGGUAGUACGGCCGCAAGGCUGAAACUUAAAGGAAUUGGCGGGGGAGCACCACAAGGGGUGAAGCUUGCGGUUUAAUUGGAGUCAACGCCGGG